rnacentral:rRNA from 1 species
UGAGAGGAGCUGCCCCUAGUACGAGAGGACCGGGGUGGACGGACCACUGGUGUAUCAGCUGUCGACCAACGGCAUAGCUGAGUAGCCAAGUCUGGACGGGAUAAACGCUGAAGGCAUCUAAGCGUGAAGCCCCCCUCAAGAUGAGAUAUCCCCUCCUUCAAGGAGAUAAGAUCCCUUAAAGACGAUAAGGUAGAUAGGUUCAAGGUGUAAGUGCGGUAACGCAUUCAGCUGAUGAAUACUAAUAGAUCGAAGGUUUAUUCUA